rnacentral:rRNA from 1 species
GAGAAUGAUUCUUCGGAUGAAGUCUCUUGUGACUGAGUGGCGGACGGGUGAGUAACGCGUGGGUAACCUGCCUCACACAGGGGGAUAACAGUUGGAAACGACCGCUAAUACCGCAUAAGCUGCCGGUGCCGCAUGGCACUGACGGAAAAGAUUUAUCGGUGUGAGAUGGACCCGCGUCUGAUUAGCCAGUUGGCAGGGUAACGGCCUACCAAAGCGACGAUCAGUAGCCGGCCUGAGAGGGUGAACGGCCACAUUGGGACUGAGACACGGCCCAGACUCCUGCGGGAGGCAGCAGUGGGGAAUAUUGCACAAUGGGGGAAACCCUGAUGCAGCGACGCCGCGUGAGUGAAGAAGUAUUUCGGUAUGUAAAGCUCUAUCAGCAGGGAAGAAAAUGACGGUACCUGAUUAAGAAGCCCCGGCUAACUACGUGCCAGCAGCCGCGGUAAUACGUAGGGGGCAAGCGUUAUCCGGAUUUACUGGGUGUAAAGGGAGCGUAGACGGUAAUGCAAGUCAGAAGUGAAAGCCCGGGGCUCAACUCCGGGACUGCUUUUGAAACUGUGUGACUGGAGUGCAGGAGAGGUAAGCGGAAUUCCUGGUGUAGCGGUGAAAUGCGUAGAUAUCAGGAGGAACACCAGUGGCGAAGGCGGCUUACUGGACUGUAACUGACGUUGAGGCUCGAAAGCGUGGGGAGCAAACAGGAUUAGAUACCCUGGUAGUCCACGCCGUAAACGAUG